rnacentral:snRNA from 1 species
UUACCACUCUGGCCUUUUGGCUUAGAUCAAGUGUAGUAUGUCAGAAUUAGAUUGCAAUGGAGCUGUAAGUUGGAUUCCGAUCAAAGUGACUUGCCUUAAAUGGAAAGGAAGCGCGUCAGUUCAGUUGCGUCUGUUCUUAAUAGUUUAACCACUAUUAUGAGGGCACCGCCCUCAUUCUUUGGUUAUCAAAUUUUUGUCGCCCUUGAUCCUUGCGAGCUCUGCUUGCAACUCCGGGGACGCAAUGACCUUGCUACUGCACUACCGGCUUGUGUUGUCGGGGGAUU